rnacentral:rRNA from 1 species
GACGAACGCUGGCGGCGUGCUUAACACAUGCAAGUCGAACGGAAAGGCCCUGCUUUUGUGGGGUGCUCGAGUGGCGAACGGGUGAGUAACACGUGAGUAACCUGCCCCUGACUUUGGGAUAACUCCAGGAAACUGGGGCUAAUACCGGAUAGGAUCUCCUGCUGCAUGGUGGGGGUUGGAAAGUUUCGGCGGUUGGGGAUGGACUCGCGGCUUAUCAGCUUGUUGGUGGGGUAGUGGCUUACCAAGGCUUUGACGGGUAGCCGGCCUGAGAGGGUGACCGGCCACAUUGGGACUGAGAUACGGCCCAGACUGCUACGGGAGGCAGCAGUGGGGAAUAUUACGCAGUGGGCGGAAGCCUGAUGCAGCAGCGCCGCGUGCGGGAUGACGGCCUUCGAGUUGUAAACCGCUUUCGCCUGUGACGAAGCGUGAGUGACGGUAAUGGGUAAAGAAGCACCGGCUAACUACGUG